UUGUAACGACCCGGUUUUCUUUAACCGUUUUUGGUUUAAUUAUUAAUAUUAAACCAACACUUAUCCACCUCCUCUUAUAACCUAAACGUGUAUGCAUGUAUUGAUAUAUUUAUCUCCUUCCACAAAUCUCAGCCGCCAUUGAUAUCAUCGUGUGAGACUAAGCAACAUUUUGCACCAGCUUCCUCUUCUCUCUCAUGUUGUCUUUACUUUUAUCCUUUACUCGUGUUCCUCUGGAUCUCUUGCAAAGAAGAUACGCCAUCGUUCAUCACAAACCACCACUCGUUAGUUUGAUCCGUUGCGUGCCAUCACCACCGCCCACAUGAGUCACCACCGGAGUGGUCAAAGCCUUGAGUCAUCUCUGUACAACGGAGAUCCAUGCCUUGAUCGCCGCCGUCUUCAUCACCACCAUCGCCAACCACCACCAAAAUCAUAGACGUCAUCACCAGAGCCGUCGUCACGCCACUGACGUAGCCUCAUUGUCAUAGAUCCAUCGAUGUACCAUGUUUCCAGUUCACGUCGGAUCCGUUCCAUGGAGAACGUGAGCAAGCCAGGACCUAGAAGGAGAAAGUGAGACGCGAGUCGUUGCGUCUCGGAACCAACGACCACCGAUCUGCGCGGCCAUGAACCGUUAGCCAUCGGAGAGCUGAACCGUGUACACUGGAGAUCGUGGGCCUUUGAAGCGUGGCUAUGUCUGAGAAGGUUAAGUGUAUCAUUAGUUGUUUCUUGUGAUACAAGAAACAUAUCUAACGUGCACUUUUAUCAUGGCAUUCGUAGGAAGCAAACAUGGACCUUAUGGGUGACUUGUUCGCCAAGUCAUUCUCUCUAAAGCGUAGAUCGAGUUUGUUGUACAAGCAAUAUCAGUUCCCGAGAAUUCCCCGAUUAAUUCCCGAUAUUGGCUAAUGUGAGGGUAUUUUCCCGAAUUUCUCUUACACGGCUUAUGACCUCGAAUAAGUAUAAUUUUUUUGUAAUGUGUUUCCGCUUGUGUGAAAUCGAGUCUAUUAUUGCUUGUUUAGUUUUUAGGUUCUUUGCUUAAACCGGAAGUAGGGUGUUAGAGGAUUCAACAAUGAUUGUCUCAUUUAAAAUUGUUAAAUAAAAAUAGUUGUUUUAUUAGGAGUUAUAUGAUUGUCUGAGAUGGAUACAGAGACGGACUUCUGUAUGCCGGAUUGUUUGGAGGUUACGGUCAGCUAUAGUCGACCGGUUGACGCGUAACCCAGGAGGUCGAUAAAUCGUCUACGGGCGCGUGUUACCGAGCACUUGUUCGGUGUGUGUAUGAACCGAGCACCUUUUCGGUAGUGUUUUGGCCUGUUAGUGGGCAGCGAGUGUGCACCUCGCUAGGACUGUUGUGUGAUCUUUGGGUACUUUAGGUACCGUGUUUGCAACGUGUUAGGAUUAAAUUAUAUUUAUUCGGAGUGCUCUGUCCGGGUCCAUGGACUUCGGGUUUAGUAUCCCAUACCUCACUGAGUGACUUCCCCGUUACUCACCCCUCAUUUGCCCCUUGCAGGUGAGACAGAUGAGUAUAUGAUAUUUGGACGGAUUUGGUGCUACUGAGCUUUUUAUUCGGAUUUUAUUGGGCUUUGGGUGAGUGUAAUUGGGUAUAUGGGCUUUUAUUAUACGAG
rnacentral:lncRNA from 1 species